UGUUUGAUGUUCUAACGUGGACCCGUGAUCCGGGUUGCGGACAGUGUCUGGUGGGUAGUUUGACUGGGGCGGUCUCCUCCUAAAGAGUAACGGAGGAGCACGAAGGUUGGCUAAUCCUGGUCGGACAUCAGGAGGUUAGUGCAAUGGCAUAAGCCAGCUUGACUGCGAGCGUGACGGCGCGAGCAGGUGCGAAAGCAGGUCAUAGUGAUCCGGUGGUUCUGAAUGGAAGGGCCAUCGCUCAACGGAUAAAAGGUACUCCGGGGAUAACAGGCUGAUACCGCCCAAGAGUUCAUAUCGACGGCGGUGUUUGGCACCUCGAUGUCGGCUCAUCACAUCCUGGGGCUGAAGUAGGUCCCAAGGGUAUGGCUGUUCGCCAUUUAAAGUGGUACGCGAGCUGGGUUUAGAACGUCGUGAGACAGUUCGGUCCCUAUCUGCCGUGGGCGCUGGAGAACUGAGGGGGGCUGCUCCUAGUACGAGAGGACCGGAGUGGACGCAUCACUGGUGUUCGGGUUGUCAUGCCAAUGGCACUGCCCGGUAGCUAAAUGCGGAAGAGAUAAGUGCUGAAAGCAUCUAAGCACGAAACUUGCCCCGAGAUGAGUUCUCCCUGAGACUUUAGGUCUCCUGAAGGAACGUUGAAGACGACGACGUUGA
rnacentral:rRNA from 1 species